rnacentral:rRNA from 1 species
UACGGAGGGGGCUAGCGUUGUUCGGAAUUACUGGGCGUAAAGCGCGCGUAGGCGGACCUGCAAGUCGGGGGGUGAAAGCCCGAGGCUCAACCUCGGAACUGCCUUCGAUACUGCGGGUCUCGAGUCCGGGAGAGGUGAGUGGAAUUCCUAGUGUAGAGGUGAAAUUCGUAGAUAUUAGGAAGAACACCAGUGGCGAAGGCGGCUCACUGGCCCGGGUACUGACGCUGAGGGCGCGAAAAGCGUGGGGGAGCAAACAGGG